UAUAGCUCAGUGGUAGAGUAAUUGCCUAGCAAGCAUGAGGCCCUGGGUUUGAUCCCCAGUA
rnacentral:tRNA from 1 species